AUUUUUAUAUGAUAUUUAUCGUUUUCCGCCAGAAGUUUCAACAAACUUUAUGCAUGAUUUUUAUGAGGUUUUACAGAAAACAAUAAAAAUUGGUCUUCAAGGCUCCAGAAGUUCAGCAAAGAAACGUUGAAGUUGCUCGGAUACGUUGCUGAAUAUAAAUGAUCAUAACCCAUACAAAGACAAUAGGCGCAUUAUUCCCAUGUUCCUGAACUUUUCAAGCAAACCCAGCAAUGACUAUGCAAAAAACCCGGAAUGAUAACUUUGUGCACAGAUUCCAAUAGGAACGACAAAUCUAAAAUCC
rnacentral:misc_RNA from 1 species